rnacentral:rRNA from 1 species
CAGCAGCCACGGGAAUACGAAGGGGGCUAGCGUUGCUCGGAAUGACUGGGCGUAAAGGGCGCGUAGGCGGAUGGCACAGUCAGAUGUGAAAUUCCCGGGCUUAACCUGGGGGCUGCAUUUGAUACGUGUUGUCUAGAGUGAGGAAGAGGGUUGUGGAAUUCCCAGUGUAGAGGUGAAAUUCGUAGAUAUUGGGAAGAACACCGGUGGCGAAGGCGGCAACCUGGUCCUUGACUGACGCUGAGGCGCGAAAGCGUGGGGAGCAAACAGGAUUAGAUACCCCAGUAGUCCCUGUCUCUUAUAC